rnacentral:tRNA from 1 species
GGGGGUGUGUUAACUCCUACGUGGUAGAGCACAUGGGUCACAACCAUGGGGUCGGGAGUUCGAAUCUCUCUGCCCGCACCA